rnacentral:rRNA from 1 species
GAUGAACGCUGGCGGCGUGCCUAAUACAUGCAAGUCGAGCGAACAGAUGAGGAGCUUGCUCCUCUGACGUUAGCGGCGGACGUGUGAGUAACACGUGGAUAACCUACCUAUAAGACUGGGAUAACUUCGGGAAACCGGAGCUAAUACCGGGUAAUAUAUUGAACCGCAUGGUUCAAUAGUGAAAGACGGUUUUGCUGUCACUUAUAGAUGGAUCCGCGCCGCAUUAGCUAGUUGGUAAGGUAACGGCUUACCAAGGCAACGAUGCGUAGCCGACCUGAGAGGGUGAUCGGCCACACUGGAACUGAGACACGGUCCAGACUCCUACGGGAGGCAGCAGUAGGGAAUCUUCCGCAAUGGGCGAAAGCCUGACGGAGCAACGCCGCGUGAGUGAUGAAGGUCUUCGGAUCGUAAAACUCUGUUAUUAGGGAAGAACAAAUGUGUAAGUAACUAUGCACGUCUUGACGGUACCUAAUCAGAAAGCCACGGCUAACUACGUG